rfam:Medicago truncatula strain A17 chromosome 5, whole genome shotgun sequence.
AAACAGCCCCCUAUGUUUUGAUUCUUUGGCAGUUUUGGACCCCCAAGGCAAAAAAAAUAAUAAUUUAACACGUGGCACCUCACCUAGGGUGUCACGUCAGCGUUGACCGAGUCAACAAUGGACUGGGGGUCCAAAAUUGUCAAAGAAUCAAAACAUAGGGGGCUGUUU